rnacentral:rRNA from 1 species
CCUACGGGCGGCUGCAGUGGGGAAUAUUGGACAAUGGGCGAAAGCCUGAUCCAGCCAUGCCGCGUGUGUGAAGAAGGCCUUCGGGUUGUAAAGCACUUUCAGUGGGGAAGAAAGCCUUGGGGCUAAUACCCUCGAGGAAGGACAUCACCCACAGAAGAAGCACCGGCUAACUCCGUGCCAGCAGCCGCGGUAAUACGGAGGGUGCGAGCGUUAAUCGGAAUUACUGGGCGUAAAGCGCGCGUAGGCGGUCUGAUAAGCCGGUUGUGAAAGCCCCGGGCUCAACCUGGGAACGGCAUCCGGAACUGUCAGGCUAGAGUGCAGGAGAGGAAGGUAGAAUUCCCGGUGUAGCGGUGAAAUGUGUAGAGAUCGGGAGGAAUACCAGUGGCGAAGGCGGCCUUCUGGACUGACACUGACGCUGAGGUGCGAAAGCGUGGGUAGCAAACAGGAUUAGAUACCCCGGUAGAC